AUGAACGCUAGCGGCAGGCUUAACACAUGCAAGUCGAGGGGCAUCACGGGUAGCAAUACCUGGUGGCGACCGGCGCAAGGGUGCGUAACGCGUGAGCAACAUGCCCUAUACAGGGGGAUAAUCCAGGGAAACUUGGUCUAAUAUCCCAUAGCAUUUAGAGGUGGCAUCACCAUUAAAUUAAAGCUUCGGUGGUAUAGGAUUGGCUCGCGUGACAUUAGCUGGAUGGUGGGGUAACGGCUCACCAUGGCGAUGAUGUCUAGGGGUUCUGAGAGGAAGACCCCCCACACUGGGACUGAGACACGGCCCAGACUCCUACGGGAGGCAGCAGUGAGGAAUAUUGGACAAUGGAUGGAAAUCUGAUCCAGCCAUGCCGCGUGCAGGAAGACGGCCCUAUGGGUUGUAAACUGCUUUUAUAUGGGAGCAAUAAGGUUUACGCGUAGACCGAUGAGAGUACCAUAUGAAUAAGCAUCGGCUAACUCCGUG
rnacentral:rRNA from 1 species